rnacentral:rRNA from 1 species
UGGGGAAUAUUGCACAAUGGGCGCAAGCCUGAUGCAGCCAUGCCGCGUGUAUGAAGAAGGCCUUCGGGUUGUAAAGUACUUUCAGUCGGGAGGAAGGUGGUAAGGUUAAUAACCUUAUCAAUUGACGUUACCGACAGAAGAAGCACCGGCUAACUCCGUGCCAGCAGCCGCGGUAAUACGUAGGUGGCAAGCGUUGUCCGGAUUUAUUGGGCGUAAAGCGAGCGCAGGCGGUUUCUUAAGUCUGAUGUGAAAGCCCCCGGCUCAACCGGGGAGGGUCAUUGGAAACUGGGAGACUUGAGUGCAGAAGAGGAGAGUGGAAUUCCAUGUGUAGCGGUGAAAUGCGUAGAUAUAUGGAGGAACACCAGUGGCGAAGGCGGCUCUCUGGUCUGUAACUGACGCUGAGGCUCGAAAGCGUGGGGAGCAAACAGG